GCAGUGGGGGUUCAGUGGUGGAAUUCUCACCUUCCAUGUGGGAGACCCAGGUUUGACUCCCAGCCAACGCA
rnacentral:tRNA from 1 species